ACGCGGGGCUCGAACUUACUAACUGUGAAAUCACGACCUGAGCCAAAGUCAGAUGCCCAACUGACUGAGCCACCCAGGCGCCCCUCCUCACUUGCUUUUUAGUGGCGGGACUCCACAGCUAGCUUAUGGGAAGCUAAGGACCCAGAGCAGAGUUUGAGGACGCGAGGCUCUAGGCUCCCAGACGGCAGUGGGCUGAGCACACAGACAGAUCUGUGAGCCGGGACAGACGCGCGGAGGCCAGGGGUCACCUCACACCCGUCCUGCCGGCUGGGCCCUCGGCAAGCACCGAGGCCUACUUGGACGUGGCCGGCACGCAACCGUUGGAAGAAGGGGAGGCAAAGAAUAAUAGACCCAAAGACUUGGACCUUCAGUUUUGCAAGAGGUCUUUAGAGAGAGAGGCUUCUUCCCCGGCAAGCUUGUAACACCUCGGAAAGGGCUUCAAAACACAUGCAGAUUAACUCAAAGAAAGCAGAUCACAGCUAAGUUGAGUAGCAGACGCUAGGGGCCCUCCCCCUCUACCCUUCAAGGCCAGUUUCGGGAACCUCGGAAAGCCAGUCUUCGGUCACUCUGACGAGUCUUUGCCUCAUCACCCUGCUGGCGUCAGCUGUGGCCUCUGCCUCCCGGUUGUCCGGCUGCCUGAGGAGGGGGCCGAGGCUGCGGUUCCUGCCGCUCUCUGCUCUGCCCGGGGACUUGGCCGUUGGUACCCCCACCACCCGACUUCUGCCCAGCGGACAGAGGGUACCUCUCCACAAAAGCGCGGGGGACCCAGGGCUCACCUCCCAAAGUCUGUUGAAGUCCAGGUUUGGGCUGACAAAGUGAAUUCCUGUACUGGGACCACAAAAUGGAGGCGGCCCUGGUGGCCCAGCCCGUGUCACAGUUCUAAGCCUAAGUCAUGUGAAACACCUGUCGGGGAAACCCAGCCCCCCCCCCCCCACCCCAGCAAAACAGGACCUGCCUGCCUUUUAAGGAAACCCCCACCUCCCGGCCAAUCAUGCCCAUUCUUUCCCACGUUGCUGCUUCUCUACACAACUGGCUCUUGCCCCAAAUCCUGCCAGACUGCUCCAUGCUUGGGAGGCGCUGUACUCCCCCAAUCCACAGCUUGUCUUCCCUCAAAUGAAGGAAGGGUAAACUCAUCACUCAAUUGUUUCCGUUUUGUCCUUUGACAGGGUUGAGAACGCUGAGGUGGCGUGACCCAGGGGCACCAAGUACAGCUCUGAAGAUCUCAGUUGCUAAUGAGAACAUACGGCCCACGUGCCGGAAGAUGACAUUUGCAGACGCUUGUUAACGCUUGUGAAGUCACUUUCGGGCGUACCAUUUUGAGGCCUGUGGCAGGCUAGAGUCACUGAAGUAGUCAUGGUACCCAGCUCCCGGGUAGAUUCCUAGAGAUGACGGGGGCGAGAUUGGGCCCCAGCCCCCAGAACGGUACCCCCCCAGGGCUACCGGGAUGGACAGCUCAAGAGUGGAGUGUCUCAGAAAAGCCACACAUACGGGGUUAAUACGUGACCAAAGUAUUAGAGUUUGCUGGAAGGUUUUUCACGAACGGGUGUGGAAGCCGUCGAUUAGCUUCCUGAAAGCAAAACUAGUUUAAGUCCUCAUGUCCACCUCACAUACCAAAAUGAACGUCAUAUGGAUCCAAGAGUGAAAUGCCAUGAACAGAGGGAAAAAAAGAUCUAAAAACAAGUCAAGAUUCGAUUACGAAUGAGAAGGAACACUUUGAGCUUAAAAGCAAACUGAAAUUACAAAAAAAAAAGUGCAGAUUUAACUAUUUAAAA